UCCCUGGUGGCUCAGACGGUAAAGCGUCUGCCCGCAAUGCAGGAGCCCUGGGUUCGAUCCCUGGGUCGGGAA
rnacentral:tRNA from 1 species